rnacentral:tRNA from 1 species
ACUUAUGUAGUUUAAAUAAAACAUUAGAUUGUGGGUCUACAGAUAUAAAUAAUUAUUAUAGGUU